rnacentral:rRNA from 1 species
UCCAGACUCCUACGGGAGGCAGCAGUGGGGGAUAUUGCACAAUGGGGGGAACCCUGAUGCAGCGACGCCGCGUGGGUGAGGAAGUACCCCGGUAUGUAAAGCCCUUUCGGCAGGGAAGAAAAUGACGGUACCUGGCGAAGAAGCCCCGGCUAACUACGUGCCAGCAGCCGCGGUCAUACGUAGGGGGCAAGCGUUAUCCGGAUUUACUGGGUGUAAAGGGAGCGUAGACGGCCAGACAAGUCUGAAGUGAAAAUCCAGCGCGUAACGUUGGAAGUGCUUUGGAAACUGCCGGGCUAGAGUGCAGGAGGGGCAGGCGGAAUUCCUAGUGUAGCGGUGAAAUGCGUAGAUAUUAGGAGGAACACCGGUGGCGAAGGCGGCCUGCUGGACAGUAACUGACGUUGAGGCUCGAAAGCGUGGGGAGCAAACAGGAUUAGAUACCCCUGUACA